AAGGAAAUAUUGUUUAUAAAGAAGCUGCUAACUAUCUUUUAUAAUGGUUAAACUCCAUUUUUUCCUUA
rnacentral:tRNA from 1 species